CUUUCUGGCCCUUGUCGGACGCCAUCCCCAGGGCUGCACAGAGUCGACCCCGGCCAGCGUGUAGUGGAUCACGGUGCCACACAAAGGCAAACGUUGAGAAACAUGGGUUUUCUGUGAUUCGGCUCCAGCAGGAUGGAGACCGGGGUUAUCCAGUCAGCUGGCACCUGCUUCCUCAAGGUCACGUCUGAAGGCUGCGUGACCACCGUGGUCCACCUGCUUCCGUAGAAUGACGUGUACUACGUGACCACCAGACUUCAGUGAUGGGGUAUAAGUGGGACCCACAAAAAGAACAAGGUGUUCUUUAGGACCUGUCUUUCUCUUGUUUCCCUUUAAUAAAUUACCAUUUCUUUGCCUGACUGGUA